UUCCAUUACCGUUGAAUGCAU
rnacentral:piRNA from 1 species